rnacentral:rRNA from 1 species
ACUCCUACGGGAGGCAGCAGUGGGGAAUCUUGGACAAUGGGCGCAAGCCUGAUCCAGCCAUGCCGCGUGAGUGACGAAGGCCUUAGGGUUGUAAAGCUCUUUUGCCGGGGACGAUAAUGACGGUACCCGGAGAAUAAGUCCCGGCUAACUUCGUGCCAGCAGCCGCGGUAAU